rnacentral:rRNA from 1 species
CCUACGGGGGGCAGCAGUCGAGGAUCUUCGGCAAUGGGGGAAACCCUGACCGAGCGACGCCGCGUGUGGGAUGAAGGCCCUCGGGUUGUAAACCACUGUCAGAGGGGAUGAAAUGCUAUGGGGUUCUCUCCAUAGUUUGACAUAUCCUCAGAGGAAGGACGGGCUAAGUUCGUGCCAGCAGCCGCGGUAAUACGAACCGUCCGAACGUUAUUCGGAAUCGCUGGGCUUAGAGGGGGUGUAAGCUGGGUUGGAAAGCCCUCGGCUUAACCGAGGAAUAGCGCUCAAUACUGCUGUGCUUGAGGGAGAUAGAGGUGAGCGGAACUUAGGGUGGAGCGGUGAAAUGCGUUGAUAUCCUAAGGAACACCUGGGGCGAAAGCGGCUCACUGGAUCUUUUCUGACGCUGAUGCACGAAAGCUAGGGUAGCGAACGGGAUUAGAUACCCUUGUAGUC